GACGAACGCUGGCGGCGUGCUUAACACAUGCAAGUCGAACGGAAAGGCGCUGCUUUUGUGGGGUGCUCGAGUGGCGAACGGGUGAGUAACACGUGAGUAACAUGCCCUUGACUUUGGGAUAACUUCAGGAAACUGGGGAUAAUACCGGGUAGGAGCUCCUGCAGCACGGGGGUGAAUGGAAAGAUUCGGCGGUUGGGGAGGGUAUGGCUGCUUAUCAGCUGGUUGGUGGGGUAGUGGCUUACCAAGGCUUUGAAGGGUAGCCGGCCUGAGCGGGUGACCGGCCACAUUGGGACUGAGAUGCGGCCCAGACUCCUACGGGAGGCAGCAGUGGGGAAUAUUGCACAAUGGGCGGAAGCCUGAUGCAGCAACGCCGCGUGCGGGAUAACGGCCUUCGGGUGGUAAACCGAUUUCGCCUGUGACGAAGCGUGAGUGACGGUAAUGGGUAAAGAAGCACCGGCUAACUACGUG
rnacentral:rRNA from 1 species